AAGUGCUGUGAGCCACAAGUAACAUCAAGAAAAGACAGGGAUGAAGAACCGCACUUACAAGCUAAGUGUAAGCUCAUCCGACACAUGUCAUUUGGACCAGACCAAGGCUGCUCUCAUGGAGGACCCACACCACAGCUUGGGAACCGUUCAUCUCCCACAGGGUCACAUGACUUCAAAUGACUCCUCCAGGGGCCACCUCCCAUGCUGGGGUAUCAGCUCUUCCUCUGAAUUCCCAAUCUAUUUCUUGAGAACUACUGUUUCUAAUAAGAGGGGAAGAAGGUCAUGUGGGAAUCAGUUAAAUCAUUUGUGAGUAGAAGACAAGUUCCAGCUUUGUGGGAAAUCCUGUAGCCUUCGCCAGGUACACCCUGACAAUCUCAGAACUGAUCAGAGUUUUUGUUCCAUGUGAGAUACCCAUGCCACUUUAUAAAAACAAACUAUCCUGACAUCUAAUUACUUUGUGAAUGAUUGUAAUGGCAAUAACAAUAGAGAUGGAAGAAUUUUUGAAACAA
rnacentral:lncRNA from 1 species